AUGAAUCCAGGUGAAAACACACUCAUCAUGAAUCUAUAUAUAGUGACAUCACGUCCUACUGCAUCGAGAUCAGGACUCCUCCUCAAACAGACUCAUCAGGAAUCUAUAUAUAGUGACAUUUUGAAACAAACAAGGUGAGAAAGGAGAACUAAACAGACACCGGGUUGACAAAACUUUAAGAACACCUGUUCUCUUUCCACGACAGACUGACCAGGUGAAAGCGGUGAUCCAUUAUUGAUGUCACUUGUUAAAUCCACUUCAAAAUCAGUGUAGAUGAAGGGGAGGAGACAUGUAGAUGAAGGGGAGGAGACAUGUAGAUGAAGGGGAGGAGACGGGUUAAAGAAGGAUUUAGAAGCUUUUCGACAGUUGAGACAUGGAUUGUGUGUGGCUGUAAGAGCCUUCGAACGGGGUGUGGUAGUAGGUGACAGGCGCACUGGUUUGUGUCAAGAACUGCAAUGCUGCUGGGGUUCUCACACUCAACAGUUUCCCGCGUGUAUCAAGAAUGGUCCACCACCCAAAGGACAUCCAGCCACCUUGACACAACUGUGGGAAGCAUUGGAGUCAACAGGGACCAGCAUGCCUGUGGAUCGCUUUCGACACCUUGUAGAGUCAACAUGGACCAGCAUCCCUGUGGAACGCUUGACACCUUGUAGAGUCCAUGUCCCGACGAAUUGAGUCUGUUCUGAGGGCAACUCAAUAUUAGGGAAGGUGUUCUUAAUGUUUUGUUCACUCAGUGUAAAUUCUCUUCUCAACAUUACACUGUACACUCCAGGUCGACUGUUAAGCUCUUAGUAUUCCUUAUCUACCUGUUAAAUAACCAUAUUGAAGUAAUCAUUAAUUCAUUAAUGACUUCCCCCAUCAGCGGGGUUCAGUCUAGUCCAGAAGAACAGGUUGUUAGAUUGUUAGAUUGAGUUCCACAUCAGCAGGGUCCAGUCUCGUCCAGAAGAACAGGUUGAGUUCCACAUCAGCAGGGUCCAGUCUAGUCCAGAAGAACAGGUUGUUAGAUUGUUUGGCUUGUCUUCCUCUGUCAGAGCAGCUAGUAAAAGUCAAGUAGUAUUAAUUAUGAAACAUUUUCCCACCGAGAAGCUGUUCAACACAACGUUGACUCCAUAUGGACAACCUUAAAGUGACCGUGUAGUCUGUCUCUGAACCUCAACUUCACAGUUUGUUGCUAAAGUAGUGCAUCGUUUGGCUUCACCACAGCUGUCUGUUAGAGAGUCAGUGUUCAGGUGGAAACCCAGGUGGCUCCUGGUAAUUGGGAGUCAGAGAGUUCAGGUGGAAGCCCAGGUGGCUCCAGGUAAUUGGGAGUCAGAGAGUUCAGGUGGAAGCCCAGGUGGCUCCAGGUUACAUGGUUGGAAGCCCAGGUGUCUCCAGGCUACAUGGUUGGAAGCCCAGGUGUCUCCAGGCUACAUGGUUGGAAGCCCAGAUGUCUCCAGGUUACAUGGUUGGAAGCCCAGGUGUCUCCAGGUUACAUGGUUGGAAGCCCAGGUGUCUCCAGGUUACAUGGUAAUUCUCUUUAACAAUGUUAUUGCCAAUAGAAGAAGAAAAGUGACCCAUCCAUAUUUCCAGGAUGGGAAGGCACUUUGGUGACAAGUCUCUCCGUCUGAAAUUCCACCCUAUCCCCUCAUCAGGGAAUUAGGUGCCAUUUGGGACACACCCUGACAGGAAUAUGUAUUGAGCUGGUCUGUCAUCGUUGUGGUAGAUGGGUGUGUGUGUUUUAACUUCCUGGUCAGUCAUCGUUGUGGUAGAUGAGUGUGUGUGUUUUAACUUCCUGGUCAGUCAUCGUUGUGGUAGAUGAGUGUGUGUGUUUUAACUUCCUGGUCAGUCAUCGUUGUGACAGAUGAGUGUGUGUGUUUUAACUUCCUGGUCUUUGGGUUGUGCAUCUUAUCUACAAAUCGUCUCUGAAUGUAAAAACGGAGGUUUUAUCCAAGAAGGUUGUGUUUCCCAGGCCAC
ensembl:lncRNA